rnacentral:rRNA from 1 species
AUUGAACUCUGGCGGCAGGCCUAACACAUGCAAGUCGAACGAGUGGCGGACGGGUGAGUAAUGUCUGGGCAACUGCCCGAUGGAGGGGGAUAACUACUGGAAACGGUAGCUAAUACCGCAUCCCAUCGGAUGUGCCCAGAUGGGCUUAGCUAGUAGGUGGGUUAAUGGCUCACCUAGGCGACGAUCCCUAGCUGGUCUGAGAGGAUGACCAGCCACACUGGAACGGAGACACGGUCCAGACGCCUACGGUAGGCAGCAGUGGGGAAUAUUGCACAAGUGGCGCAAGCCUGAUGCAGCCAUGCCGCGUGGAGGAAGAAGGCCUUCGGUUUGGAAAGUACUUUCAGCUAGGAGGCGUUACUCGCAGAAGAAGCACCGGCUAACUCCGUGCCAGCAGACGCGGUAAUAC